rnacentral:rRNA from 1 species
UAGGGAAUCUUCGGCAAUGGGGGCAACCCUGACCGAGCAACGCCGCGUGAGUGAAGAAGGUUUUCGGAUCGUAAAGCUCUGUUGUAAGAGAACAACGUGUGUGAGAGUGGAAAGUUCACACAGUGACGGUAACUUACCAGAAAGGGACGGCUAACUACGUGCCAGCAGCCGCGGUAAUACGUAGGUCCCGAGCGUUGUCCGGAUUUAUUGGGCGUAAAGCGAGCGCAGGCGGUUUAAUAAGUCUGAAGUUAAAGGCAGUGGCUUAACCAUUGUUCGCUUUGGAAACUGUUAAACUUGAGUGAAGAAGGGGAGAGUGGAAUUCCAUGUGUAGCGGUGAAAUGCGUAGAUAUAUGGAGGAACACCGGUGGCGAAAGCGGCUCUCUGGUCUGUAACUGACGCUGAGGCUCGAAAGCGUGGGGAGCAAACAGG